rnacentral:lncRNA from 1 species
GGGUAGUUUCUUUAGUUUUGCUAAAAAAUGAGGAUAGCAAGUGGGUUUGGCAAACUGUUGGAGAUGCUCUUUUACGCAACGAAUGUGAAGUUUUAAAGCAUUCCAGUUAGUAUUAGUUCCAGCAUAUCUAAUUUUGUCGGUCUCAAUUCCGCUCCAUAGAUCUAUAUACAAGGUAGUACGGAAUCAUGUGCUGGAAUGGUUCUCCAUUGCCUCGCUGCUGCCUAUCUAAACUAGGACCAACUGGCUCUUGAUUGAAUGGAAGCUUCCCAUGCUGAUCAAGAUCUACAGUAUUACAGUACUCCAGCAAUCAGCAGGUAGCACGAGGAGCCAUUCUGACUGGAGCAUGCAAGACGACAAAUGCACCUGAAAUUUGCAGCCAAGUACGUUCUCCAGCAUCUGAAAUAUGAUUUUUUUUUUCCUAAUUGUUUUUUUAACGCAGUUCUUGUCCUGUUUCUGAUUGGGGAAUUGAACAUAUGAAAGGCGCUUUUGCUCCUCAACCACUCAACUGGCUUGCUGCUGUCAGCUAGAGUAAUAAUCUAAUCUCUCUCCCAUUGCAUGACACCAUCUCAGUCAGCUGGUUCUGUUGUAGGUCAGAAACAGACAGGCCUGUUUUACCAACAUGUUCUCGCUGCAUUUCCAGAACUUCUUGUCAAUUUCUAGUCUAGCAAGAAAAGAAAUUGUGCCUACCGCACAACAACAAUUAUUCUACAUUUACCUGGUGCUGAAACAUACUGGUACGAGAUCAAAACAAAAAUGAGCAGAAUACUAGUUUGCCUCCUUCACUUUUCUGGGAAAACGAAUUUCAUUUUUGCUCACAGGAUUAACUGAAGAUCACUGUGCACGAAUACCAGAUUUUUCUGGUCUUUCCUGGAAAUAAAGGAACAGGGGUUAAUAACUGGUCUCAGAUUUUGCCUGUUGUUGAGAGCGCAGAAACCUG